UACGUAGGGGCCUAGCGUUGUCCGGAUUUAUUGGGCGUAAAGAGCUCGUAGGUGGUUCGGUAAGUCAGGUGUGAAACCUCCAGGCUCAACCUGGAGACGCCACUUGAUACUGCUGUGACUGGAGUCCGGUAGGGGAGCGUGGAAUUCCUGGUGUAGCGGUGAAAUGCGCAGAUAUCAGGAGGAACACCAGCGGCGAAGGCGGCGCUCUGGGCCGGUACUGACACUGAGGAGCGAAAGCGUGGGGAGCAAACAGG
rnacentral:rRNA from 1 species